rnacentral:rRNA from 1 species
UACGGAGGAUGCAAGCGUUAUCCGGAUUUAUUGGGUUUAAAGGGUGCGUAGGUGGAUUGGUAAGUCAGUGGUGAAAGUUUGCAGCUUAACUGUAAAAUUGCCGUUGAAACUGCCGGUCUUGAGUGCAAAUGAGGUAGGCGGAAUGCGUCGUGUAGCGGUGAAAUGCUUAGAUAUGACGCAGAACUCCGAUUGCGAAGGCAGCUUACUGGGAUGCAACUGACGCUGAGGCACGAAAGCGUGGGUAUCAAACAAGAUUAGA